rfam:Schizosaccharomyces japonicus yFS275 unplaced genomic scaffold supercont5.2, whole genome shotgun sequence.
CUGAAAAAAGAUACCUAGGCGAAACACCAGUUCCCGUCCGAUCACUGCAGUUAAGCGUCUGAGGGCUCGUUAGUACUGCGGUUGGAGACAACGCGGGAAUAGGUUUUUUCACU